AAGGUGUUGCACUAUGUUAGACCAUCGUUUACAUGGACACAAGGUGUUGUACUAUGUUAGACCAUCGUUUACAUGGACACAAGGUGUUGUACUAUGUUAGACCAUCGUUUACAUGGACACAAGGUGCUGCACUAUGUUAGACCAUCGUUUACAUGGACACAAGGUGCUGCACUAUGUUAGACCAUCGUUUACAUGGACACAAGGUGCUGCACUAUGUUAGACCAUCGUUUACAUGGACACAAGGUGUUGUACUAUGUUAGACCAUCGUUUACAUGGACACAAGGUGCUGCACUAUGUUAGACCAUCGUUUACAUGGACACAAGGUGCUGCACUAUGUUAGACCAUCGUUUACAUGGACACAAGGUGCUGUACU